rnacentral:rRNA from 1 species
AUUGAACGCUGGCGGCAUGCUUUACACAUGCCAGUCGAACGGCAGCGCGGGGCAACCUGGCGGCGAGUGGCGAACGGGUGAGUAAUAUAUCGGAACGUACCCAAGAGUGGGGGAUAACGUAGCGAAAGUUACGCUAAUACCGCAUACGAUCUAAGGAUGAAAGUGGGGGAUCGCAAGACCUCAUGCUCCUGGAGCGGCCGAUAUCUGAUUAGCUAGUUGGUGAGGUAAAGGCUCACCAAGGCGACGAUCAGUAGCUGGUCUGAGAGGACGACCAGCCACACUGGAACUGAGACACGGUCCAGACUCCUACGGGAGGCAGCAGUGGGGAAUUUUGGACAAUGGGCGCAAGCCUGAUCCAGCAAUGCCGCGUGAGUGAAGAAGGCCUUCGGGUUGUAAAGCUCUUUUGUCAGGGAAGAAACGGUAGAGGCUAAUAUCCUGUGCUAAUGACGGUACCUGAAGAAUAAGCACCGGCUAACUACGUG